UACAGAGGGUGCAAGCGUUGUUCGGAAUUAUUGGGCGUAAAGGGCGCGUAGGCGGUGCGGUAAGUCUGUAGUGAAAUCUCUGGGCUCAACUCAGAGUCUGCUGCAGAAACUGCCGUGCUUGAGUGUGGGAGAGGUGAGUGGAAUUCCCGGUGUAGCGGUGAAAUGCGUAGAUAUCUGGAGGAACACCGGUGGCGAAGGCGGCAUCCUGGACCGGCAUUGACGCUGAGGCGCGAAAGCCAGGGGAGCAAACGGG
rnacentral:rRNA from 1 species